AAAUGAUUAAAAAUUGUUAGUCACUAUUAGCGUCAGUUCGCUAAAAGUUUAAGAAGGUUAAGGAUAUGUCAUUCCGUUAGCAGCUGAAUGACCAACAAAUUAAAUAUUAUGGCCAUCUCGACUGCAUUCUACGAAAAUUCAUCUAGAAACGAGGACGUGAAAUCACUUACAUGUAGGUACCUAUUAAAAAUUUUUCUUUGACGUAUGAAGUAGUUAUCCCUGAAAACAAGACCCACUCCGCGCUUACUAAGCUCCCAAUAAUUCGAAGAGGAAAACCCCUUUUUCCAUUACAGACGACGUCUAAACCGGAUCAUACUCGAGAAUGAUUAGAAGCUGAGGUGACCCAUAUCCUCAAUCGCUAUGUAAGGCGAAGUACUCAUUUUUGUAGGUUAACUAUAAAGUUCUCUAUUCUCCGAAUUCAUCCUCUCCUGUAUCGAACUUGGUAAGAAAAUUGACCCAAAAAUAAUGAUUUUGAGAUCCAAGUUAAAUUCCACCUCAACUUUUAAAAUCAAGAAAAUCAGAAUCUUAAAAUUUGCAGGAUACCUUUAUUAGAGCAGGGGUUCGCAACCAGAGACUCGCGAGCCGCAUGCGGCUCUUUUGAUACAAAGUUGCGGUUCUCCUGUUCCAUUGGUAAAAUUAAUAAUUUAAGCCCUAACAUGAGCGUAAUGAGAUAAAUUUGAACUUUUGUUUUGUUCUUACUUUCUUAGAAAUGCGAGUUCAUAACCAUGUUUAUCUCGCAGCCAAGUGCUGAUUCCAUUUCGGUCUUAGGUCUUACCCACCGUCUCUAGACGUGGUAUGGAUGCAGAUGGAGCCAGAAGUAUGACAGGAAUACAUGGAGGGGUGACAUCAAUUCUUCAGAGCAAAAUAAACCACGAAAUUCUAACGUUCCACUACAUAAUUCAUCAAGGAGCGCUUUGUGCCCAAACAUUUCCGGUCGAAAUAGUUGAGGUUAUGAACUUGGUAAUUAAGAUUAUUAACAGCAUCUUGGGAAAAGCACUCUACCACCGCCAGUUUAAAGAUUUCCUUGAAGAAAUAGAUAGCCAGUUGUCUGACCUACUUCUGCACAAUAAGGGGCGAUGGUUUUCCAGAGGUAAAAGUAUUGCAACGGUUUGCUUUGUGUUUCAGUGAACUAAAAAUUUUCCUCAACUAAAAGUAUUAACCAUCCCGAAUUAGAAGAAAACAAAUGGCUGCAAAAAUUCAACUUCAUGGUAGAUACCAUAAUAAAACUAAAUGAACUAAAUCUAAAACUGCAAGGAAAGGACAACCCGGCCAACGCCUUGCUUGAAGGAGUAGGUAGUUUGUUUCGAAAAAAUUACUUCUUUUUAUUGAAGACAUGGAGAGCGGUAGGUAAAUUACUUCAUUUUAAACAUCUGAAGCAAUAUCGCGACGAUACCAAUGCGAUUGACACGAAUUAUUUCAGCAUAGCUUUAAAAACAUGAAGGAUGGAUUCGCUGAGAGAUUUGAGCAAUUCAAAAUAAACAAAAGCACCCUCACCUUCAUAGUAAAUCCUCUCAACACAAAUACAAAUGAGAUCAACAUUGAGCCAUUUGGAAUUGAUUCAGCAUCACUUCAAAUGCAAUUGGUGGAUUUGAAGACCAAAGACUUGCGGAGUGGCAAGUUCACAGAACUCAAAAGUAAGUUGGAAGAUUUGGAGAUCCAGAAAUGCAUGCACAUUGCGUAACACAAGAAGACAACUCUAAAAGAAAUUCCGCGAGUUGAGGUCCUUAUAUUCAACGCAUGGAAUAGUCUUCCAGAAUGCUACAAGUGAGCUAAAGAAGUUGGCAUAUGGAGUACCGACGAUCUUCGGGGACAUAUUCGUGCGAGCAAGCGUUCUCUUGCAUGAAUAUAAUAAAAAGUAAAGUUAGAAGUCAAUUAACCAAUAAUAAUUUAGAGUCGUGCUUGAAACUUAAAACAACAAGUUAUACACUUAAUCAAACUUU